GGAUCAUCAGGUUGGUCUUGCCUCUGGUAAGUACUGGUCUCGGUGGUUCCUCCUUCUUGUAGAACCGUAAUGCCAUUAAUUUGGUGUUGCGAGGAAACAGGACUGUUACUUUGAAAAAAUUAGAGUGUUUAAAGCAGGCUAACGCUUGAAUACAUUAGCAUGGAAUAAUGAAAUAGGACGAUCGAUCCUAUUUUGUUGGUUUCUAGGAUUGACGUA
rnacentral:rRNA from 1 species